rnacentral:rRNA from 1 species
AGAGUUUGAUCCUGGCUCAGGAUGAGCGCUGGCGGCGUGCCUAAUACAUGCAAGUCGAGCGAGGUAGAUUUGAAAGCUUGCUUUCAAAUCUAUCUAGCGGCGGACGGGUGAGUAACACGUGGGUAACCUGCCCUUUAGAUUGGGAUAACAUCAGGAAACUGGUGCUAAUACCGAAUAGGAAGAAGAGUCGCAUGACUUUUCUUGGAAAGGUGGCGUAAGCUACCACUAAAGGAUGGACCCGCGGCGCAUUAGCUAGUUGGUGGGGUAAUGGCCUACCAAGGCGACGAUGCGUAGCCGACCUGAGAGGGUGAUCGGCCACACUGGGACUGAGACACGGCCCAGACUCCUACGGGAGGCAGCAGUAGGGAAUCUUCGGCAAUGGGCGAAAGCCUGACCGAGCAACGCCGCGUGAGUGAAGAAGGUUUUCGGAUCGUAAAACUCUGUUGUAAGGGAAGAACAGCAGGUAGUUAAAUAAGCUACCUGUGUGACGGUACCUUAUUAGAAAGCCACGGCUAACUACGUGCCAGCAGCCGCGGUAAUACGUAGGUGGCAAGCGUUAUCCGGAAUUAUUGGGCGUAAAGCGCGCGCAGGCGGUUUAUUAAGUCUGAUGUGAAAGCCCCCGGCUCAACCGGGGAGGGUCAUUGGAAACUGGUUAACUUGAGUGCAGAAGAGAAGAGUGGAAUUCCACGUGUAGCGGUGAAAUGCGUAGAGAUGUGGAGGAACACCAGUGGCGAAGGCGACUCUUUGGUCUGUAACUGACGCUGAGGCGCGAAAGCGUGGGGAGCAACCAGGAUUAGAUA